CGUCGCCACGGUAAUACAGAGGGUGCGAGCGUUAAUCGGAUUUACUGGGCGUAAAGCGUGCGUAGGCGGCUUCUUAAGUCGGAUGUGAAAUCCCUGAGCUUAACUUAGGAAUUGCAUUCGAUACUGGGAAGCUAGAGUAUGGGAGAGGAUGGUAGAAUUCCAGGUGUAGCGGUGAAAUGCGUAGAGAUCUGGAGGAAUACCGAUGGCGAAGGCAGCCAUCUGGCCUAAUACUGACGCUGAGGUACGAAAGCAUGGGGAGCAAACAGGAUUAGAUACCCGCGUAGUCCCUGUCUCUUAUACA
rnacentral:rRNA from 1 species